AUCUUUGCGCUUGGGGCAAUGACGCAGCUUAAGAGGUUCUAACCGAGGUGCAUCUAUUUCAGGUUGAAAUAUAUUUCCACACCCCCUUUUUAACUUGGGCUUGACCUAAGUCUUUUAGAAUUUUCGGAAGGAUUCACGUUAGGGUAAAGC